UCAGGCCUAGGAAAGUCUGUACCAUUAGGAAAGCUGUUUUUGGAGAUGAUGAGUUUGCUAAAUUACAUAAGGUAGAGGGAUUUUAUAGCUGAUAAAAAGAAACUUAGGGGAGUCCAGGAGACGGGCAUUCACUUAUGUGUACAUUGUCUGUAGCUCAGAGUCCAUACUCUGAAACUUAGUUUACUUUUCACAGUUGUGAGACGAGGGGGAAAUUUCUCCAAAUACAUUUUAUAUGACAUCCUAGAUAAUGAUAUUGUCUUUAGAGGAUGCCACAUAUUAGGCAGUUAUUAUUUUCUCAUGGAACUUUAUUGUGAGACUCUGUAUGUUGCAAAUGAAAACAGGGAAAGAGACAGUGAAGGUGUGUGCAACGUAUACAGUACCAAGAUGACCAUGAUCCUAUGUGAAAAUGGAGGCAGAUUGUUCUUUGCAGAGUAGAGGACUGACUGAAGGAAGCUAAAAAACUGAGACAACUCAUUCUUUAGAUUUGAAGAAUAACAUCUAAAAUGAAAUGUAACAGUUCUCUACAGAGUCAGAUAUGGAUUCCAUUCUGUUCUGUGGGCCUUAAUUCACUCAAAAAAUUGGUAGGUUAAUUCCAAACAUUCAUGUAACCAUG